rnacentral:rRNA from 1 species
AACGAACGCUGGCGGCAGGCUUAACACAUGCAAGUCGAGCGCCCCGCAAGGGGAGCGGCAGACGGGUGAGUAACGCGUGGGAAUCUACCCAACCCUACGGAAUAACGCAUGGAAACGUGUGCUAAUACCGUAUACGCCCUUUUGGGGAAAGAUUUAUCGGGGAUGGAUGAGCCCGCGUUGGAUUAGCUAGUUGGUGGGGUAAAGGCCUACCAAGGCGACGAUCCAUAGCUGGUCUGAGAGGAUGAUCAGCCACAUUGGGACUGAGACACGGCCCAAACUCCUACGGGAGGCAGCAGUGGGGAAUAUUGGACAAUGGGCGCAAGCCUGAUCCAGCCAUGCCGCGUGAGUGAUGAAGGCCCUAGGGUUGUAAAGCUCUUUCACCGGAGAAGAUAAUGACGGUAUCCGGAGAAGAAGCCCCGGCUAACUCUGUGCCAGCCGCCGCCGUAACAC